rnacentral:lncRNA from 1 species
UGAACGGUGGUAAGGUCACAAAAUUCUUUAAAGAAAAGAAGUGUACCCAUCCAAAUAUUUUUAAAUCAGAUUUUUAUCUUUUUCAAUGCCAAAUUUCUUGCUUCUUUUCACUCUCUCUUCCAUCUUCACAAUCUAGGUUAUAUUUCUCUCUUCCUUUCAUUCUCAGUUCUAUCUCCAUUAACAAUUUUAAGUUUCUUGAAAACUCUUUUUUCCAUUUCAAGUUAUUUGAUCGCAAAUCAAAAGCAAAGAUCAGUGGAAACAAUGUUCAAGUUUAUUUUCUUCAUCACGUAUCAGAUCGCUAUGAUUCAGUAUUGAAAGUAAAGAUUGCAUUCCUUUUUAGCUUGAUUGUCUUUUCUCUAAUUAAUUUCAUCAUAAAAUAAAAAAUCAAGUUUGAGUUGUCGUUGUUUUUCAUAUUCAUCACAAAAUCAAUAAUUUUUUGUUGUUAUUUUUGUUGUUGAUUUUAUCACAAAUUAAACAUGUGUUGUUGUUUUCCGUAUUCAUCACGCAAUUAAUAAUUUUUGUUGUUGUUAUUGUUGUUGUUUUCAUCACACAUACAAAAAAAAACUUUGUAGUUGUUGGCGUCUAUUUUCAACACAAUAAAAAUUCCACAAAGUGUUAUAGUUGUUUUGACAUAUUCAUAAAAAAAAAAAAAAAAAAAAAAAAAAAAAAAAAAAUCAACAUCUUUUUGUUGUUGUUAUUGAUAUGAGAAUAAGUAAACCCUUGCAAAUGGGCAUAUUUCUUGUCCCUAGCAAAUGAAAAAAUUCCACAAAUUUGCUAGGGAUUCAUGUCCCUGUCAAAAUCCCUAGCAAAUAGACAUAUUUCUCUCACAUUUUAAAUAAUAAGAUUGUUCGUUGGAGACACAUUAGCACUAUUGAAAUGUUGUUGAACUUGCUUAUUUAUCUACACUUCCUUGAUUAAGACAAUCGAAUGUCUCAUGAUGAUAACUAGUUUACUCAACAAAUUGACCAACCCUUUUUCUAUUAGAAUCUACAUAAUCAUGGUCUUGGUAAUGUGGAUCAGGAUAUUUAAAAGCAUCGUGUUGAAAAGAAAUAUAUGUGUUAUUACUCACUUUUUUUGUUUACGACGAACUCUAUUCAGAAAAAUAUCAUUUUUGCUUCAUUUUCAAUGUUGGAUCUCAAAACAGUAAUGCAUCAUCAUUGUCGAAGUAGAACUUUUUCAAGAUCAAAACAAUGGUACGUUUCUUUAGAUCUUUCUCCAUUAACUUUAUAUUUAUUUCAACUCAUCUAUUAUUGUUCUUUCACAUUACGAACACACUUUUGUUAAUAAAAAUGACUAUUUGAUAUAUUAUGUGUUUUAUUUCUGUAUUUAAUAGAAUAUUAACUCCAUAUGGUUUCAUGUCAAACUUUGAAUUAGAAAAUUUGUAUAUGUUCAAUUUUAAAGCUUGUUGAAAUUGAUUCUAUGAUUCAAUUACCAUAUAAAUGCUUUUGUCUAAAGUGGUGGAGAGCAAAACAAAAUUUUACCACAUUUCAUUAGUGCUAAUGUGUCUCCAAUGAACAAUCUUAUUAUUGAGAAUGGGGGUGCUAGUAAGAGAAAAGUUAAAGAACUUAGUUAAAAAACAACUCAUCCUCCUAAAAAUCAUGAGAGUUGUAGUUGUAUUGAUCUUCAAAUCCAAUACCACAAUCAUGGAGGAUUUCUUAACAAUUCAUCACACUCUAGCAUUAUUGAAACGAGGUUAAACUUGGUUAUGUUCUCCACCACUUCCAAUAAAAGCACUUCCAUCAUUAAUACCACUAAAAUCCUCAUGAUUUUGAGGAGUAAUUGUUUUUCCAAGAAGUUCUUCAACCUUUCUCUUAUUAGCACCCUUCCAUGAUUAAGACAAGUUGAGCAACUCUAUUGCUAUUAGAACCAAAAUAUUUCAUCAACACAUGACUUGAAAUAGCACAGCUAAAUAAGCAUAGCAUGAAAAAUGUUUUAAAAAUAAUGUUACCAAUAAUUACAUCUCUAUAUUAACAUGGUAAUGGAAUCAUACAUAAUCAAUUUUAACAUUGUACAAAAUUUAUCUAUAUUUAUGCAAUUUAGUUUAUGAUUGUGAAACCAAAACAUGCCUAGCUUGUCCAACAACACGAUGAAAGCAUAUACUUUUUACAGUGAGACUGAGUCUGAGAGUGAUUAUGUAAUGACUAGUUAAAUGUCCCUUAAAAUGACCAUGAUGUUGAACAUUUUGGAUUUACUUUUAUUAAUUAUUAAAAUAUAAAUGAAAUAUAUUAGUCCAAUUGAAAGAUAUUUAACAUAGGACCAAAAUCAUAGAUAUGAAAAUAUAGCAUAUUAUACAAUAUUAAUUAUUAUCAUAACCAUGUACUUUGAAUAGUUGAAGAAUCCAUAGAGACUUGAAAGAGACUUGAGAGAAUUAGUUUUUGAUAGAUGCUUCUGCCGCCUUACUGAUGGAGUAUUCUUUUGUUUUCAGUGUAUCUAACCUAAUCGGAUAGUUAGAUUAUAUACUCGUCAGUGGAGGCAGGGACCCCUCAAAUGGCACUGAUGAGUAUAUAAUCUAACUAUAUCAUUAGGUUAGACACACUGAAGACAAAAGAACGCUCCAUCAGUAAGGCGGCAGAAACAUCUCUCAAAACUCUCUCAAGUCUGUUUCAAGUUUCUAUGGAUUCUUCAGCUAUUCAAGGUACACGGUUAUGGUAUUAAUUAAUAUUGUAUAAAUAUGCUAUAUUUUCAUCUCUAUGAUUUUGGUCCUCUGUUAAAUAUCUUUCACAUGAUCCUUCUGAAACCAACCAAACUGGCACACUAAGAGGAUCAAAAGAAAUCUUUUGAUCCUAUUGGUAAGCUAUUCCAUAUACAUGGGGGUUUAUAAAUGUAGCAUUUGAUAAGAUUGCUGUGUCAAACUCAACACUUGAAAAUCCAGCUUUUGAUAUACUGUCUCCUGUUUCCCUAGAGAGAUGACACCCAUCUGCAAGUGUCUGUUGCAGAGGAUCAAGAACUCUCUGUAAAAAUCUGAGAAGUGUUCCAUCUGUAUCCCCAUGAGAACACAGAAAAUAAUAUUUUUUUUAGCGAUUUACUAAGAUUACAAGUUUCUAUUCAAAAUAGUGAAUAAAAAAGUUUUGUUCGCACACCUUUUGCAGCUACAUGUUCCACAAACAGAUAAACUCCUCCAGGUCGUAGAACCCUCCUCACUUCUGCAUACAUAGCGCAAUUUAGUCAAUAAUCUUGAAUUCCAAAGUGUGAGACAAUAUAAAAAUGACAAGGAUCGUCUAAAGUGAGUAAAGUAUAAAGUACGAAAAUCAAGGGUUGUUAUUGCAACAAACUCAUGAUUUGUUAUGACGUACCUACAAUAUAUACUUUUCAUUUAUUAAUUAACGGUUGAUAUUGCCCACUUUACACUCUAAAGUGAAUUGCUCACUUUAGAGGAGCCGGAUCCGUAUAAAAAAACAUUCAUCAUAUACUAGGAAGCACAUAUCUCUUUAUAUGCAUGCUCCCUUAGAUUAGUUACUACAUUUCUAGUUGUUUAAAAUUUAAACUCAAUGCAGCAUUAUAUAGUUUAAUGUGCAAAUAAAUAUAUCAUGAUUGUUAAUUUGAGGAAGCAAUUUUUGGAGGAAAGAAACAAACUAUUUAUAAUUUUAUCACCUUUGAAGAAAAACAGAAGUCUAAAGUUUCAUCACCUUUCAGUGUCAGAUCAACAUCUUUAACAGAACACAAUACAAGUGUUCCAACAACUGCAUCGACCGAAGCAUCACUUAAUGGUAUAACCUCCCCGACCUAAAUAGAGCAAAAUUUAAAGAUCAAUUAACAUAAAUCAAGCCUUCAAAAGAUGAUGAAAAUGAGGAGAAAAAGAAUUGGAGUGCUGAAAAUAAAGAAUUAGGAUUUUCAAAUCUAUAUAGAUAAUAAAACAUCGGAUACGCAACAAUACAGACGAAGAUAAACUAACUAACAAACAAAGCAAACAUGUCUCAGUAAUUACUUAGACCAUAGAUUCUCAUUCCAAAGAAAGGUUAUAACUUAUAGAACUUAAAAACCAGUGAAAAUACUAAACAUUACAUACAGCAUGUAUAAACUCAAAAUUUGAGAGUGGAAGUCCAGCUGAUACAGCUGCAGAUCGAGCAUAUUUUUCCAUCUCCGGAUUAGGAUCAAUGCCAACAACCUGCACAUCAGAAUUACUAGUGUAAUAACUGAGGUUAGGACCGGUUCCAAUGCCAAUUUCCAAGAUUUUGUUAGCCUUCUUCUCCUUCAAGUUACUGAAUAUUUGAGACUUGUAUUGAGCAACCUUACAAGAAAACAUCGCAAACAUCAACUCGAUGCAACGAUAACGGAAACAUAAAACCACCCAAAAAAAGAGUGAAGAAUAAACCUCAGCUUCAUAGGAUUUAGUACAUGAAUUCAGAGCCCAAGCCAUGAACUUUUGAUACCAAUCAGGUUUAGGUGGGUGAAACUUGUUAACCAAAGCCUACAAAAGGGAAAGUAUUCAACGAUUCCAUGUUAUGUCAAUGUCAACCAGAACUUCGCAACAAUUUGAUUAUGCUUUUAAGGUGAAGAUGUUUUUCAUAUGGUCUAUGAUACACCGAUGCUUGAAAAUCAUUUGGAAAUCUAACAACUUGUCAUUGUCAUAUUACUCGUCUUCACAGCUGAAACGGUGAUCCAAUCAAUGUUGGCUCGGUAAAAUACAAGGAAAACAAAUAUUAGUGACUCAAAACUCUUACAUUUGUUUUCUCUUGUUUUUGUUGAAUCAAUACCGUUAAGGAUGUUAUAAACGUAGAUGAUUCCGAACUUCUACUUAAAGGUGACAGCAUUGAUCAUCAUUGUUGAAGUUUUGAGAGAUUUUAAAGCUUUGGUACUAUGGUAAGGAUGUGACACUUUCUCGCUAUAGUCAAAGUUGAAGCAUUUUACAUUUAUUUACUAGUAAACUGUGAAUCUGCUCCCUAAAUAUGUGAGUUGGCGUCACUAUAGUUUCAGUGUGUUGAUGGUAAUUUUAUUGAUCAACGAAAAAGACAUUCAAAUAUCAAACAAACUACGAAAAACACAUUUGUUGACCAAAUUCAAUAAGGACACAUUAAGGGAUGUUUUUGUAAUUUUAAGAACAUUCAAAUACCACUCGUACUCCUUUCAAUAAUUUAUAUUCUUAUAAAAAAAAUAAUCUUAAAUUUGUUUUUUUCCCCUCUAAAUAUACCAACUUUUACUUUUAAUCCUCUAAAAUUUGUUAUUAAAUAAUGAUCCAUACAUUUUUCCGUCUUCAAAAUUGUCCCCACGUUAAUUCCCAUUCACGAAGGCUGACAUAGCAGGUACACAAUUAAGCCACGUUAUCUACCACGUCAUUUAAAUUAGCCAAACGUUAACUUUUGUUAAAUGAGAGUUAUUGGUGGGAACCAAUUUGAAAGACGGAAAAGUUAAAAGGAACAAUAACAAAUUUUCGUGGUUUAAAAUUAAAGUUGGUAUAUUUAGCGAGAUAAAAUAAAGAUAUUUAGUCAUAAAACAAACAAUUCAAAUUCCACAACACUUAGGACAAAAAAUGGCUAGAGAAGAAAUUACUGUGUAAUCAGAAUCAAAAUUUGUGGCUGUGGCAGGCUGAACUGGGAACUGUGUGGCUGUGAGUGUUGUAGUUGCAGCAGCUUCAAUGAAGUGUCUUCUUCCACAUAAGCAUGGUUUAGUGGUUGGUUCCAC